rnacentral:misc_RNA from 1 species
UUUCCGUAGGUGAACCUGCGGAAGGAUCAUUAAAGAAUUUGCCCCGUCCUCUCGAGGAUGGGUCCUCUUCUAAACCGUGUAUACAUACCUUUGUUGCUUUGGCGGGCCGCCGUCUCGGCGUUGGCUUCGGCUGACUGUGCCCGCCAGAGAACCCCAACUCUUCUGUUUAGUAUUGUCUGAGUAUUAUAUAAUAGUUAAAACUUUCAACAACGGAUCUCUUGGUUCUG